AUUAAAGAGAUUUAGAGACAUACAUGUAUGUAAAUGUUGAGAAUAUUUGGACGCAGACAGAUAUAAUGGAUAGACAGCAGAUCAAUUCAACUCAAAAGCUCAAAUCCAUCAAGCAAUUAUCAACAACAACAAAACGUUCGAAAGAAUGAGAAAUCUUGUCUGGAGUUUAAAAACGUUUGUGAUACUUUCCAAACAAUAUCUUCGUUUUAUACACGGGGUUGUCAAUGAAGUAUACCGCAGUGACGGCAACAUUUUCCAAGAGCACUUUGGAUAAUCCUCGUCAUUUUUAUUUCAACCAAUGAAGAGCAAAUCACGUGACUCAAAUGUGGUAUCAUUGGAGCGAGCUUCGCUAGGUAUCAAUAUCCAGUUCACAUGCUUGUUUGUAUUUACAUGUACACCAGCUGCAAUUGCUUUUCUUUCGUUAUUUUUAGCAUAAUAUUCCGAUUUUCUAAUUGGGAAAAAUACAUUUCACUGCAUUUCGCUUUUUAUUUUUUGUCUUGUAUACUUCAUAUCAUGUUUCUUUUGAAUUGAUACAUUUUCAACAUUGCCAAAAAUUCUAAUGUUUCUAAAUCUCAUUUUAAAUGGCCUAUAGGCAAUUUCUGUCUCCAUACCAUUCGUCUUGACAAUGGGUAAUAAUGUCGAACAAUAUCGUGCCGGUAUUUGAGUUUUCUACAUAGAAUGAAAGGUGAAGAUAACGAACAGUGAUCAAUCUCAUAACUCCUACAAGCAAUACAAAAUAUAUAGUUGGGCAAACACGGACCCCUGGACACACCAGAGGUGGGGUCAGGUGCCUAGGAGGAGUGAGCAUCCCCUGUUGACCGGUCACACCCGCCGUGAGUCCUACAUCCUGAUCAGGUAAACGGAGUUAUUCGUAGUCAAAAUCAGUGUGCCAAGAACGGCCUAAUAAUCGGUAUGAAACACGUCCGAUAGCAUUUGACCCAAUGAUCCAGUUAUCAAUUUUUCAGUUAUCAGUUUUUAUUGGUGGAAGAGAGAACCCAGAUACAAUGUACCUAGGAAGAGACCACCGACCUUCCGACUUAUUGGCGCGAGCGGGAUUCGAACCCGCGCCGACAGAGCUGAGAGGCCGUGUGAUUUUGAGCUCGAUGCUCUAACCACUCGGCCACGAUGAUAGGUUGUAUUGACGAACUAGAUCGUUAUAACGACCAUAGAAUUUGUGAAAUGCUGACUUCAAUCGAGACUGUUGAAAACCCUGUACUAUCAACUUCUUUGUCAGUAGCUUGCCUCGAUUUAAAAACUGACCAUACGCAGAACAAGCUCUUGCGUAUCGAAUCAGUUGAGAGAUAUGAACACCAUAUGCAGGUGCUAAUGAAAUAUUGUUACAUAAAUAUGGGAAGAUGACGAUGGAGAAGCUGAAAUCAUCCCGUUUGUCAUAAAGUUGAGUUGUCAGUUUGCCAUUAAUGUCUACUUUCAAUAAAAUAUCUAAGAAUGUCAUAGUAUAAUGGUAAGACUUGACACAAGCUUACAAACAAUCGGUUACUUAAUUAACUAAAAUGCUCUGUCACAAGGGAUAUAUUUUAAUCUCAGAUGUAUAUAUGAGACCACAACUUGAAUAUGCUGUACAAUGUAUAAUAUUUACAAUGAUUUAGUUCUCAUACAGUGUAUACGUAUAUCUAAAACAUGUUGUACCUGAUAUUAGAAGCACAAUUUCUGGAUAGUACUCUCGAAAUUCUUCAAAUUCUUGAUUACCAAAAUGCAGGUUGGAUUCAUUCAACAGAUUUGUUAAAAAUUCCUGAUACUGUCAGAGAUUGGAAUCAAUCUAAUUAAAAUUAAAUCCUUUCAUCCGCUCACGUAUAUCGCUACAGACUUGUGUAGCGAUAUACGUGAGCGGAUCAAACGAUCUAAUUUUAAUUAGAUUGAAAUUGGAAUAUUCUAAGUGGUAAUACAAGGGGAAUAACUUCUAUUAAAACUUUUUUUUAAAAAUGUCUGCUAAACAAUGUUGUAAAGCCACCAAAAUACUUUUUGUAUGGGAAAAUAUAUUUGAAUAUAAUUCUAUCAAGGUUGAGACAGACCUUUGCUUUAAACAUUGAUUUAUUUCGUUGUAAAGUGAUUGGACAAUCCAAAUUGUUUGUGUGGACUACCAGUAUUAAAAGAUGCUUACCAUU